CAAUAGCGUAUAUUAAAGUUGUUGCGGUAAAAAAGCUCGUAGUUGGAUUUCUACCGAAGAUAGCCGGUCGGGUCUUCGACCUUGUAUCUGGUUUUGUCUUUGGUAUCCUCAUAGGGAACGUUUCUGCGCUUUAUUGCGUGGUGCGGUAUCUAUGACUUUUACUUUGAGGAAAUUAGAGUGUUCACGGCAGGCAAACGCCUUGAAUAUAUUAGCAUGGAAUAAUAACAUAGGAUCUUCGUCCUAUUUUGUUGGUUUCUAGGGCUAAGAUAAUGAUUAAUAGGGAUAAUUGGGGGCAGCUGUAUCAACGCGUCAGAGGUGGAAUUCUUGGAUUGCGUUGCGACAAACUACUGCGAAAGCAUUUGCCAAGGAUGUUUUCAUUGA
rnacentral:rRNA from 1 species